CUGAGGGACUGCACUCACGAGCCCCUCCUUCUCCUUCCCUUCGAUUUCCCCUUUGCCCCUUCCUCCCUCCAUUCUUCCCGAGUCCCUUAUCCCCUACCCCUUCCUCCUGAACUCGAUUUUUCUCCCUCCCUUCCUUCUGAUCUUCAGACGGUCCUGCUGAGCCCUAAGUCCAUACCCUUCAUGCGAUAGUCCCCUUCCUCCCCUUCCGUCUAAGCCCUAAAUGAAGGGUUUGUGCUCUUGCUUAGAUAAUGCCAUGACUGAAAUUUGAGUGUGUUUGUUGAACUCCAAAGGAGAGAGAAAGAACUCUAGCAUGCAAGGGAAGAGAUCCAUAAAAGAGAGGGGGACAUCCAAAAGAGAGUUUUGUUUGCUACGAUCAAGAUCAAUGGAAGAUUAAGUUUGUGUUAGGAACUUUUUGUAUGUUGUUAAGUUUGUUAGUGUUUCAGUGUAGCCAGACUGGUGACUUGUAAACAUUCUGCAUUAAUAUGCAGUCUUGUCGAAGUUGUAAUAUGCAAUUUAUGCUUCCAACUGUACCAGACUUAUGAUCCCUUCAAUAUAAUGUAUUUUCCAACAGAUUUUCUGUUGUAUUAGUAA